UCCCUGGCGGUCCAAUGGUUAGGACUUGGCACUUUAGCUGCUAUGGCCCAGGUUCAAUCCCUGGUUGGGGAA
rnacentral:tRNA from 1 species